CCACUCUCCCGUUCCUGCCAUUGUAGGCGCUCCUAAAAGAACAUAAAAACAAAGCAAAUUUUUAACCUGGAGUGCACUUGCUUGGUGUUGAGAUCAGCAUCCCUAUAAUGAAAGGAAGAAACAUUGGACGGUCUAGCGGACCAAAGGGUGACAGGAAACGUAGGAGUUGGUCAGAUAAGGAGGAAGAAACUCUUAUCAUGUCCAUGAAAGAACUUGUUGCUAAUGGAUGGAAAUCGGAUAAUGGUUUUCGUAAUGGAUACAUGAAAAGGAUCGAAGAAGACUUGCGUCGGCAAAACCCGAAAACUGAUCUGUAAACUCCAAUUUCUUAAAAAUACUUUUAGACAUCAGCAACCAUAACACACCUCACCAUUUUAAUUCAAUAUGUGAUUUUUAUUUUCUUCUUAA